rnacentral:lncRNA from 1 species
AAUCAUACCCAGCCUGGCAAUUGUCUGCUCCUCGGUCCAUUGCUCCGCCGCCGUCCACAGUCGCUUGCAAGGGGAAGGCACUGAAUUUACCGCGGCCAGAACAUCCCUCCCAGCCGGCAGUUUACAAUGCUGCGAACUAAGGAUCUCAUCUGGACUUUGUUUUUCCUGGGAACUGCAGGUACAUUUUAAUUUAAUUUAAUUAAAAAAAAUCUACAUCGGGUCUGUUAAUUGUCCGCUUGCCCCUGUCUUCUCUCCCUAUCCCCGAGAAGCCCGGUUCUUUUGGCUGGUUUUGUGUGUAAAGCAAAGACAGCAUUUUCACUGAGCUGAGAAGGGAGCGCAUCGUAUCGUCCUUGCUUGGCCAGCCAAACCCGUGCCCUCCGGGACGGCGCUGGACGCGGCUGCCUCCCCGCUCAGUGGCGGCCGCGCACGCCCUUCCCACUUGUGUGCCCGCGGAGGUGGGACAGGGGUAUGGGGACCGGGAUGCUGCCGUGAUGGGCAGCGCUGCUUUCCCCUUCCCCGAAGGCGGGUGGCGGAUGCGUGGCUCGGGUGGUGUCGCCCCCCAGGCUCAUCUUUCACCUAGAGGUGUUUGUCAAGCUUCGAGAAGAGUGAACAAUAAGGCUGGGGCAGUUUUACCCCCACCGUUAUGUCCCGGGCUGGGGUAAAGUGAGGCUUGCAGCCUUCGCUUACUCCCCCGUCUUCCCCGCCCCGAAUAACGGUUUGCAAAAUGGGGCAACCACCGGCAGCACCGCAGGGCCCUGUGGUCGUUCCUGCACCCCCGUGCAAAUGACGUUAGUUUUUCAUUUGCCAAAUUGCUGGGUAGUUGCAAAACCUGCCCUCGGCCGGGAGCACGGAGGGAUGGGAGGGUCCAGCGCCGCGUUUUGACAGGAGGAAGUGCAGAGGGGCGGAGGGUGAGGAGGGCGUGAUCGGGGCUGCCUGGUUGUGUGUGUGUGCGCGCGCGUGUGCGCGCGUGUGCCUUUACACGCACCGAGAGCCUAGGGUUGCACGGUGCCAGCGAAGAAUGGCAGGUAGCCAGCUGCCCAAGACACCUCUUCCUUUCUCUGGGCGAUAUUCCUGAUCCUGGCAAAGUGUGAACAAUGGGGAGCUCGGGAGAAAGACCGUAGCGACGCUGUCGCGGGUGGCGAGGGCUGUGCCACCGCCCAGAGAUCCUUAGCAUUCGGGAAGGGGGCGCAUUGCAUUUUGGCUAUUUCCAUCUCGGCUUUCCCUGGAAAAUUCCUCAGUGUGCCCACCCUCCCUUCCAGCUGCUGCCCCUACCCCACCCAAGGAUUUGUGCUUUGGCGUCCCAAUGGACUGGGAGAGGGGGAAGCAAAGGGCACUGGGGCCGCCGAGAGCUGGGUGGGAUGGGCCGACAGCUGGGGCGGGGGGGGGGCGUGUGCUGCCAAGCACCAGCUGAAAGCAGGCUAGGCGGAGGAGACCGCGCAUGGCUGUGGCUUCUGCCUGGUGUGGCUGUACUGGUCCAGAUCUCUAAGCCUUGGGUGUGGAGCCCACAGAGCGGCCCCGGGAGCACCCAGUGCGCCCCCCUCCGAGGGCAGCAAGAGAGCAGAGCUGGGCCACCGCCUCCAGCCAACUCUGAUCGGCGACCAAUCAGAGCGAGGCUGGCUGGGCGGGAAGCCGCGAGAGGCUUUUAUUGCGGCGCGGGUGGCGCCCAAGCUGCCAGGAUGGUCCCCGGGUGUUCUAGCUUAACGGUCUCGCUCGCCUCCCGUUGGGAGAGACCCCGCCCUGUUACUGCCCCUAGCUGCACGGCCGUUUUCGAGGACGUAAAAUGGAGAAGGAUAGGCCCUGGGACAUCUCUUGGUCCAGCUAGCUUAUUCUCGCCCACUCGUGCUUCUUUCUUGGCGCUUUGGAGCAUUCAGGCUCCCUGUCCAUGGCGCACAGUUGCGACGGAGCGCUUCGCUUGCGAGUGCAGAAGACAGCAGCUCCCAAGCUGUGUCCCGGAGAGCAGACGCGCCUGCGCUGACCCUCUGGCCAAGGACUAGACGCUGGGGUGGAGGGGCGUGGCGGGGUGUGGUAGGGCGUGUCUUGACAGGGCGUGCCAAAUGGGUCCUCGCCACCACCAAGCCCUGGACUGGCAGAGGCGUGCCCUUCCCUGUGGUGCUGUGGGUGACCUCCUCUUAGGGUGUGUUUACUGAGACCAUCCUUCUGGAUAGCAGCAUGACAAUGGAGACCUAAUCUUCCAUGAUGCGUCUUUUUAGGAUCUCCUUGUGGUCUUCUCCAUAAUGGAGAUGGGUGUAACCCUCAGUGUUCCUAUCCUGGUGGGAGCUGAGGGAGGGAAUCCUACAGUGGCGUGAUACUGGAUGCUCAGGCAAGACUGGCAUCCUAACCAGUGUUCCCUGGAACGAAAGAAUCCUUAUUCUGCCCCUAAACCCAGGCGGCGAGGACGAAGAGAAAGAAGCACAUACCAGCCUGUUUAACAAAAGAAAGUGGUUUUACAAAGAGAAUUUUCAAUUAAAGUAUUGUUUUAACCAGCUUAAAAAAAAAUCUAGAGAAUUCAGACCAAAGGGUUUGGAAGGAUAUAAAAGAAGGAUAUAUAUGAAUAUCCCCCGUCAUUAAGCUGCAAAUGCUGUAGAGUAUCCACAGACAAUGGUAUAUAUAAUUCAAACUCUGUUAUUGGUGAGCAUGAGAAUUUAACAUAUAAGAAACGCUAUCCAUAGCACUCGUUAAUAAAUAUCCUGGUGCAUAGCAAAUGAAUCAGAUGUUGUAGGUGUCUUCUGCCCUUUAGAAAUAAAAAGGCAGCUUGCAUAAUUGCAUAGUAAAUCUGAGAUUGUGGAAGCAGCAUUUGUUGCAUGCUGGCUGGCUGACUGAAUUCUGUGCUUGAACGAUCUGGAACCACGUGCUUAGUUGACAAUUUUAGUCCUUUGCUAGUCGAACCUGAAAAAGUUAAGGAUUAGGCAGCACUGUUUUUCUAACAAGAUAACACCAGACUUAGAACAAAGAGCAAAUUUAGU